rnacentral:rRNA from 1 species
GGUUCGAUUAUGGCUCAGAUUGAACGCUGGCGGGAUGGGCACACAUGCAAGUCGAACGGCAGCUGGACUUCGGUCUGGUGGCGGUGGCGAACGGGUGAGUAAUGAUGGUAAGGACGUGCCUAGUAGCGGGGAUAACUACGCGAAAGCGUAGCUAAUACGCUGCCCUUCGAGGAGAAAGCGGGGGACCUUCGGGCCUCGCACUAUUAAGCGGCCGAUAUCAGGAUUAGCUAGUUGGUGGGGUAACGGCUCACCAAGGCGACGAUCCGUAGCUGGUUUGAAGGACGACCAGCCACACUGGACCAGAGACACGGCCCAGACUCCUACGGGAGGCAACAGUGGGAGUACGGACAAUGGGGGGAAACCUGAUCCAGCCAUCCCGCGUGUGCGAUGAAGGCCUUCCGGGUUGUAAAGCGAAACGCUUUUGGCGGGAAAAACGGCGCAGGAUGACACCCCGUUGCAACUGACGGUAACCUGCAAGAAUAAGCACCGGCUAACUCGCGUGCCAGCAACCGCGGUAAUACGUAGAGUGCAAGCGUUAAUCGAAGUUACUGGGCGUAAGAAAGCGUGCGCAGGCGGUUCGGAAAAGAAGAUGUGAAAUCCCAGAGCUUAACUUUGGGCAUUUUAACUACCGAGCUAGAGUGUGUCAGAGGAGGUGGAGAUUCCGCGUGUAGCAGUGAAAUGCGUAGAUAUGCGGAGGAACACCGAUGGCGAAGCGGAAGCGCCUCCUGGGAUAACGCAGCGGGCAUCAUGCACGAAAGCGUGGGGGAGCAAACGGGAUUAGAUACCCUGGUAGUCACCUAAACGAUGUCAACUAGCUGUUGGGGCCUUCGGGCCUUGGUAGCCUGCAACUAACGCGUGAAGUUGACCGCCUAGAGUACGGUCGCAAGAUUAAAACUCAAAGGAAUUGACGGGGACCCGCACAAGCGGUGGAUGAUGUGGAUUAAUUCGAUGCAACGCGAAAAGCCUUACCUACCCUUGAUACAUGCAGAAUCGAGGUUGGGGUGCUCGCAAGAGAACCGGAACACAGGAGUGCUGCAUGGCUGUCGUCAGCUCGUGUCGUGAGAUGUUGGGUUAAGUCCCGCAACGAGCGCAACCCUUGUCAUUAGUUGCUACGAAAAUGAUGAGGACUACCAUCUUGGACGAAAGGCCGUGAAAAUGAAGGGAUGGCAUCAAGUCCUCGUAGCCCCUUAUGGGUAGGGCUUCACGUCAUACAAUGGUCGGGACAGAGGUCGCCAACCCGCGAGGGGAGCCAAUCCAGAAGCCCGAUCGUAGUCGGAUGCGCAGUCUGCAACUCGACUGCGUGAAGUCGAAUCGUUAAAGUAAUCGCAGGAUCUCAGUAUAUAUAAAGGGACGAUGUUGUGCGGAUCUUACACCCGUCACACCAUGGGAGUGGGUUUUUUGCAAGUAGUUAGCCUAACCGUAAGGAGGGCGAUUACCACGGUAGGAUUCAUGACUGGGGUGAAGUCGUAACAAGGUAG